rnacentral:snRNA from 1 species
UGGAAGAGGUGUUUCUUGG